rnacentral:rRNA from 1 species
UUCGGAUUGUAGGCUGAAACUCGCCUACAUGAAGCUGGAAUUGCUAGUAAUCACAGGUCAGCAUACUGUGGUGAAUACGUUCCCGGGCCUUGUACACACCGCCCGUCACACCAUGAGAGUUGAGAAUACCCGAAGCCCAUGUCAAAGUGGUCGAAGGUAGGCUUGAUGAUUGGGGUGAAGUCGUAACAAGGUACC